rnacentral:rRNA from 1 species
AGUUGAUCCUGGCUUAGGAUGAACGCUAGCUACAGGCUUAACACAUGCAAGUCGAGGGGCAGCAUGGUGGUAGCUUGCUACCACCGAUGGCGACCGGCGCACGGGUGAGUAACACGUAUCCAACCUGCCUUCAGCUCGGGGAUAGCCCUACUGAAAGGAGGAUUAAUACCCGAUGUGUUUGCAGUCCGGCAUCGGGCCGCAAUUAAAGAUUUAUCGGCUGUAGAUGGGGAUGCGUCUGAUUAGGUUGUUGGCGGGGUAACGGCCCACCAAGCCACCGAUCAGUAGGGGUUCUGAGAGGAAGGUCCCCCACAUAGGAACUGAGACACGGUCCUAACUCCUACGGGAGGCAGCAGUGAGGAAUAUUGGUCAAUGGUCGAGAGACUGAACCAGCCAAGUAGCGUGAAGGAAUGACUGCCCUACGGGUUGUAAACUUCUUUUAUGCGGGAAUAAAGUGUGGCACGUGUGCCAUUUUGUAUGUACCGCAUGAAUAAGCAUCGGCUAAUUCCGUGCCAGCCGCGGC